UUUAUGGAGAGUUUGAUCCUGGCUCAGGAUGAACGCUGGCGGCGUGCCUAAUACAUGCAAGUCGAGCGAACGGACGAGAAGCUUGCUUCUCUGAUGUUAGCGGCGGACGGGUGAGUAACACGUGGAUAACCUACCUAUAAGACUGGGAUAACUUCGGGAAACCGGAGCUAAUACCGGAUAAUAUUUUGAACCGCAUGGUUCAAAAGUGAAAGACGGUCUUGCUGUCACUUAUAGAUGGAUCCGCGCUGCAUUAGCUAGUUGGUAAGGUAACGGCUUACCAAGGCAACGAUGCAUAGCCGACCUGAGAGGGUGAUCGGCCACACUGGAACUGAGACACGGUCCAGACUCCUACGGGAGGCAGCAGUAGGGAAUCUUCCGCAAUGGGCGAAAGCCUGACGGAGCAACGCC
rnacentral:rRNA from 1 species